GAGAAGAGCCGCUUCCAGGCAGAGGAAACAGCUGCCCGUAGACCCAGGAGAGCAGUGUGUGGGAGCUGCCUAGGCUCCUUGCCCUGAAGCUGAGCUGUCAGAUGGGAACUGCUCGGUAGUGGACCUUCAAAGACCUUAUCACAGAUUGAACAUAAUGAAGAAUCAUAGUCUUGCAGGAAUAUGGGGACAAGAGAGGAUGGUCACGUCCCCAGUCUCGGUGAAGGGAACCUCUUUCAAUCCAGCAAAGACCCUGUGAAGAUGUGUCUGUGAACCAGGCCCCCUGGACCGCGUGCUUCAAAGUGGAUUGUGUUCUGGAAGACUUAGGCUGCUUCACCAUCUGAUGGCCUAAGGAUUUUCUAAGUCAUUGUAAUCAACAUUUACUAAGCCCCCUCAAGUAGUCAAAAGUCCUUUAAUCCUCAACUGUGAACGCAUAAAGCAAGGCUUUAUCUUUGUUAGAUAAAAGUCUCUGCUGAAUCUCCUUGGUCUUGGAU
ensembl:lncRNA